GGGGUCGACUGGUUUUGACAGCGGGUUCACUAGUAUGGUAAGCAUGUAGAGCGCUGGAAAACAGCUCUUAAAUCUCAUUUUUCAUACUUUUAAACGGCGAGAAUAACUACGCCCUAGCUGCAUAAUCUGAAUCAUAGUAGGAUUACGCCUCGGUCUACAAGGUAGACAAGCAGGAAGUCACUCAAACACCUUGGUUUACGGUUUUUGAUAUAGUGACUUCGUAAAAGUAAACCUAUUGAGGGUGGUGUCUAGACGCCCUCAAGACAUCUAAGUUAGGAUAAGGCAUGCGUUGGUGGUUUUUGGCCGGCAAUUGCUCGAAAAUUUAAACAAAAACUAAACAUGUAGAAGGCUGUAAUAGUACACGUUUGGACGAGGGUUCGAAUCCCUCCGACUCCACUU
rnacentral:tmRNA from 1 species